rnacentral:rRNA from 1 species
GACGAACGCUGGCGGCGUGCUUAACACAUGCAAGUCGAACGGAAAGGCCUGCUUUCCCUUGUGGAUUGCGGGUACUCGAGUGGCGAACGGGUGAGUAACACGUGAGUGAUCUGCCCCCAACUUGGGUAUAAGCCUGGGAAACUGGGUCUAAUUCCCGAUAGGACUGCAGGGUGGUGCCUGUGGUGGAAAACGAUUUUCUAGUGGUUGGGGAUGAGCUCGCGGCCUAUCAGCUUGUUGGUGGGGUAAUGGCCUACCAAGGCGGCGACGGGUAGCCGGCCUGAGAGGGUGGACGGCCACAUUGGGACUGGGAUACGGCCCAGACUCCUACGGGAGGCAGCAGUGGGGAAUAUUGCACAAUGGGCGGAAGCCUGAUGCAGCGACGCCGCGUGGGGGAUGACGGCCUUCGGGUUGUAAACUCCUUUCAACCGCGAGGAAGCCACCUGGUUGGAAGGGUGGUGACGGUAGUGGUAGAAGAAGCACCGGCUAACUACGUG